GCCUGUUUUUUCUUCCUGUCUUCAUGAAUCCAGCAACUUUUCAUCACUCCAGCAGUGACCAUUCAAUCCUGUAACAGAGGCUCCUAGCACCAUAUAUUGAAUUAGGGUAUCCUUUCCUUAGUGUGUAUUUUUGUUGACUUUGUCAAAGGUCAAUUGGUGGUAGAGGGUGUCUUCAUUCCUUGGCUCAUGGCCCCCUUCCUCCAUCUUCAAAGCCAGUAACAUCACGUCUCUCUGACCCUUCUGUCACAACAUCUCUGACCACAGCCGGGAAAGCCUCUCCACAUUUAAGGAUUUAGGUGAUUUGACUGGACCCACCUUGAUAAUCCAGGAUAAUCCCUCUUCUCCAGGUCUGUAACCUAAUCAUCUACAAAGUCCCUACACCACUCAUCCAAGCCCGCAUCAUCUCUCACCUGUAUCUCACCUGGAUUAUGGCAAUAGCCUUCUAUCUGGUCUCACUCUUCUACUUUUGCCCACUGUAGUAAUUAUCCUCACAGCAAAAUCAGAAGUUUUGUUCUGAACAUUUCAAGUUUUGAGACCUAUUAGACAAUUAAGAGGAUUUCAAGUAGUUGUCUUGUAUACAGAUGGAUCUUCAAUUCUGAAGCUCAAAGAAAGCUUUCAACUGGAGAUGUAAAUUUUGGAGACAUUGCCAUACAGAUGGCACUUAAAACUAUGGGGCUGGAAGACAUAACCAAAGGAGUAAGUCUACAUACAGAAGAAGCUGAGGACCUAGUCCUGGGGCAUUUCAACAUUUAGAGAUUUCAACAAGGAGGUGUUAGCAAAGAAUCCUAGUCUAUCUGUGAAAUGAAGGAAAACGAGAACUGUGCUACAGUCUGAGACUCUUCCUUCCCAGUUAUCCUUCCUUCCCCUUCUCCUUUCCCAGGUAUCAGGCCUGGAUGAUAGUCUAAAGGCACUCCCCAGGUACUCCUCCACCCUCCCUUUAUCCUCCACAGAUAUUUCCCCAAUAAAUUUCUUACCCAUCUAAUU
rnacentral:lncRNA from 1 species